AAAUUUGUUAUUUUGGCCCAUCAGUCUUUUUAAUGCCUUAUAAGGUGCUGCCCAUUGUUAACAGAUUACAUCCAAUUCUCUAAACGUAUUAUCAGACCUUUUCAAAACAGCUUUCUAGUCGGUAGAAGCACGGCAUCUUGAUUACUCAAGAAGUUCAUUCUAUGAUGAGUAUGCCGGGAAAACAGGGUGUGUCGGUGUUGAAGAUUGAUUUACACGAGGCAUAUGAUAAUCUCAUUUGAGGUUUCUUUAACUUGAAGACAGUAUUGGAAGAUUUCCGAGUACUGGAUAAAUUGAUUGAGUUGAUUAUCUUCUAUGUCCAAUAUAGUAAGAUUGUUUUGAUCUGAAUUGGGCAGGUAAUGAGUGAACUCACUCCUUAGCAAGGGCUGUGACAUGGAGACCCACUUUCCCUCUACUUACUCAUUAUGGUUGUACAGGCCCAAUUUCGCCCGGCCCACUAAGUCAAAUAAAAUCCAAAAUAAAAUAAAAUUAAUCAGUCCAAAUUACAACAAAAUCCUAAGUCCAAGUGGCCCAAAAUCUAAAAAAAAUUUCAGCAAAAAAGAGGAAGAAGAAACCCUAGCCCCCAUGUGCGCCGCUCCCCACGUGCCUUGCCAGCACGUUCAAUGCCCGAGGCCUGCCCUCCUCGUGCCAAAACGGCAAAAAGCCGAAAUAUCCGCCUUUGACCUCGCCGACCCUGCAAAAAGGACAGAAAAAGAACCAAAACGAAACGCAACAACAGAGACAGUGUAGAAAAAGGCACAGACGCAAGCACAGAUAAUAGAAAAUAGUAGCAAACAUUUUGUAUUCGGCUAUAAAACCGAAAAAAGAACCCAUUGUAUGGACACGCAUAUUUCAGAAAUCAAAAGCAAAAUAAAAAAAAAGGGUUGAUUUUGAUUUUCUCUUCUUUUCGUUCCCUGUUCUUUUUUUUAUAUUAUUACAAAUCUAUUUUCAAGUAAAAGAAUAAAAAAGGAGGAGAGAAAACUUACCCGAAUCCGAUCUUGGCGUGACUCCGACCAUCGUCCACGGUGGAGCCAAGGCUGUUCGGCGAUGGUGCGAUGAUGGGUUUCAAAUCCCUAGCAGAGAGAAAAAGGGGAGGGGCUGCUCUCUGUUUUUAGAAAAAAAGAAAGGAAGAAAUGAAAAAUUUUAAAAAAAAUGGCUUUAAUAGCCCUGCAAAACGACCACGUUUUGCUUUCCCCCCCCCCUACGCCUCAAAACGGCGUCGUUGAGGGGGGAACUCGCGCGACCCAACCCAGGUAGCAGAGGAUCCGCGCGUUUUUAGACCAUUGGGUUAUUUACAACCCUGGUCCCUCCAAGUUCUAUCCGUCUUAAUUUUGUCCUUUUUGUUUAUUUUUUCAUUUUUUUAAAAUUUGUCCGUGGGAUUUUGCUUGGUUUUCAAUUGGGUCCUUGACCCAUCGGCCCGCUGGAACGCGGACACCUGUCCAAAUAUUGGGCUUUUUGCCCAUUUAACCCUCGGACUUCUCGCGUUUUUAAUUUUAGUCCUCAUUGUUUGUUUUAUCAUAGUUUUUUACCUAUAAUUUUAUUUUUAUCUCAAUUUAGUCCCAAAUAUGUUUGAUUUCAAUUCAUUUUGCGAAUUUGUUACUUAUUUAUUUAUUUUAAAGCCUUUCUUUUCAUACAUUAUUUAUUUUAAGUUAUUUUAUUAUUAUUAUUUACUUAAAGUCUUUCAUGUAUUAUGUAUUUAAAAUCACUUCAAACUAUUAUCCAUCUUAAGUUUAUGGAUAUUACUAUAUUAGUCAUUUUAAACUGUUUUACAUAUUUUUUUUUUAAUAUUUUUUUACGUCAUUUAUUUUUUAAACUUUUUUUAUAUAUUAUCUAUUUUAAAUUUUUUAUAUGUUAUUUAGUUAUACGG
rnacentral:lncRNA from 1 species